ensembl:lncRNA
CUAAGCUUUGCUAAAAAUCCUUAGUAAUUAAAGUACUUAGCACAGUAUACCAAGGCCAAGUUUUCAGAUCUGCUGAAAUCCCAAGAACUGAAAUAUCUUCUUGUUCAUCCUGCACAGUAUUGUUGUUAAUUUCAGAUUACCUUGGUGAGAUAUGUGACACCUCAAUUUUUGAAGCUUAUGAUCAACUUCUACUCCUGGUGCUGAAGUUUGCAUGUACACAGAGAAUGAAGUGCCUGCUUCUCCCUCCAGAGGCACAGAGCAGGUUGCACCUGGCUCUCAGUCAACAUUCCAGUGGAAUUGUCACCUUGGAUUGUGUUCCCAUGCACUUAUUACAGGGCAUUAAGGAAGGAGUAUCUGCAGUCUUCUAGAGCAAGCAAGCGGAAAGAGAAGCACAAGUUACGCAGAAGAAGAUGACCCCCAGAAGGAGUUGUAGAGAUCAGUAAGGUCUCCCCUGAGCCUCCUCCUCUCCACACUGAACAAUCCCAGUUCC